rnacentral:rRNA from 1 species
UACGGGGGGAGCAAGCGUUGUUCGGAUUUACUGGGCGUAAAGGGCGCGUAGGCGGCCACCGCAAGUCGACUGUGAAAUCUCCGGGCUUAACUCGGAAAGGUCAGCCGAUACUGCGGGGCUAGAGUGCAGAAGGGGCAAUCGGAAUUCUUGGUGUAGCGGUGAAAUGCGUAGAUAUCAAGAGGAACACCUGAGGUGAAGACGGGUUGCUGGGCCAACACUGACGCUGAGGCGCGAAAGCCAGGGGAGCAAACGGG